UACGUAGGUCCCGAGCGUUGUCCGGAUUUAUUGGGCGUAAAGCGUGCGCAGGUGGUUUAUUAAGUCUGGUGUAAAAGGCAGUGGCUCAACCAUUGUAUGCAUUGGAAACUGGUAGACUUGAGUGCAGGAGAGGAGAGUGGAACUCCAUGUGUAGCGGUGAAAUGCGUAGAUAUAUGGAAGAACACCAGUGGCGAAAGCGGCUCUCUGGUCUGUAACUGACGCUGAGGUUCGAAAGCGUGGGUAGCAAACAGG
rnacentral:rRNA from 1 species